rnacentral:rRNA from 1 species
GUCUUUUUGAUUUUUUUUUAAAGUCUAGCCUGCCCACUGAAUUUUUAAAUGGCCGCAGUAUACUAACUGUGCAAAGGUAGCAUAAUCAUUAGUCUUUUAAUUGAAGGCUGGUAUGAAUGGUUGGACGAAAUAUUAACUGUUUCAUAAAAAAUUUAAUUAGAAUUUUAUUUUUUAGUCAAAAAGCUAAAAUUUAUUUAAAAGACGAGAAGACCCUAUAAAUCUUUAUAUUUAUAUUAUUUUAAUUUUGUAGAUUUUUUUUGUUAAAAUAAUUAAUAAUAUUUUAUUGGGGUGAUAUUAAAAUUUAAUAAACUUUUAAUUGUUUUAAACAUUAAUUUAUGAUUUAUUGAUCCAUUAUUAUUGAUUAAAAAUUUAAGUUACUUUAGGGAUAACAGCGUAAUUUUUUUGGAGAGUUCAUAUCGAUAAAAAAUAUUGCGACCUCGAUGUUGGAUUAAGAUAUAAUUUUAGGUGUAGCCGCUUAAAUUUUAAGUCUGUUCGACUUUUAAAUUCUUACGUG